rnacentral:lncRNA from 1 species
AGCAUCAGACAGGCUGGGCAGCAAGAUGGAAUCACAGACCCAGGUCCUCAUGUUUCUUCUGCUCUGGGUAUCUGAAUUACAGGGAUGGAAAUGGAGGGGAGCCUGAAGAAAAGAAGGUCCAGCGACAGGUCCAAAGUGGAAUCCAGCUCAAGUGGCAGCCACAAGGCCUGACACUAUCAUUGAGGCUAUGAAGAACUCACAGAAAGGGACCUAGCAUGACCUCACUCUAGAAGAUACAACAAGCAGUUGAGCUAGAUGCAGGUAUUUGCACCCAACCAAUGGACAGAAGCAGCUGACUCCUGUUGUUGAAUUAGGGAAAGACUGAAAGAAGUUGAGGAGGACAGUGACCCUGUAGGAAGUCCAACUGUCUCAAUUAAUCUGGACCCCCGAGAUCUCUCAAACACUGGAUCACCAAACAGGCAGCAUACACCAGCUGAUAUGAUGCCACCAACACACAUACAGAAGAGUACUGCUGGGUCUGUGUUCAUUCAGAGAUGAUGCACCUAACCCUUAAGAGACUGGAUGCCCUAGGGAGAUUAGAGGUCAGGUGGCAUGGGAGGUGGGGGCACCCACAUGGAGACAGGGGUUUGGGAAUUAGGCAUGGUAUGUGGAGCAGUAGGAGAAUGGAGUAGUUGAAUAAAAUAUGGAGUAUAAACAAAAUUAAUUAAUUAAUUAAAUAAAAUAAAAAAUUCAACAGAUCAGCUUUACAGAAAUAAUAGUACAACUACCUUUGUUUCAAUCCCAAGGAAACAAUAAAUCCUGAACAACAGCAACAGCAAAA